CACGCCCUAAACGAUGAUCACUCGAUGUGUGCGAUAUACUGUACGCGUCUAAGCGAAAGCAUUAAGUGAUCCACCUGGGGAGUACGACCGCAAGGUUGAAACUCAAAGGAAUUGACGGGG
rnacentral:rRNA from 1 species